rnacentral:rRNA from 1 species
CUUUUAUGGAGAGUUUGAUCCUGGCUCAGGACGAACGCUGGCGGCGUGCCUAAUACAUGCAAGUCGAGCGGACUUGAGGGAGCUUGCUCCCGACGGUUAGCGGCGGACGGGUGAGUAACACGUGGAUAACCUGCCUGUAAGACUGGGAUAACUCCGGGAAACCGGGGCUAAUACCGGAUAGGAUUUCGGUUCGCAUGAACCGAAAUGGAAAGGUGGCUUUUAGCUACCACUUACAGAUGGAUCCGCGGCGCAUUAGCUAGUUGGUGAGGUAACGGCUCACCAAGGCGACGAUGCGUAGCCGACCUGAGAGGGUGAUCGGCCACACUGGGACUGAGACA